rnacentral:rRNA from 1 species
GUGGCUCGACAAGUCAACUGUUAAAUCUGAAGCUCAACUUAAAAUCGCAGUCGAAACUAUCGGACUGAGUAUAGUAGAGGUAAAGGGAAUUCCAGUGGAGCGGUGAAAUGCGUAGAGAUUGGAAAGAACACCGAUGGCGAAGGCACUUUACUGGGCUAUUACUGACACUCAGAGACGAAAGCUAGGGUAGCAAAUGGGAUUAGAUACCCCAGUAGUCCUAGCCGUAAACAAUGGAUACUAGGUGUUGAACAGAUCGACCUGUGCAGUACCAAAGCUAACGCGUUAAGUAUCCCGCCUGGGAAGUAUGCACGCAAGUGUGAAACUCAGAGGAGUUGACGGGGGCCCGCACAAGCGGUGGAGCAUGUGCUUCACUCCGAUGCAACGCGAAGUACCUUACCAGGGUUCGACCUGGAUACGCAUUUUUCUGUAAAAAAGAGUGCCGUUUGGAACGUAUACACAGGUGGUGCAUGGCUGUCGUCAGCUCGUGUCGUGAGAUGCUGGGUUAAGUCCCGCAACGAGCGCAACCCCUAUUUUUAGUUGCUAUUUUUAGAACUCUAGAAAGACUGCCGGUUAUAAACCGGAGGAAGGCAGGGAUGACGUCAAGUCAGCAUGCCCCUUACAUCCUGGGCUACACACGUGCUACAUUGGGCGAGACAAUGAGAUGCAACUCUGUGAAGAUUAGCUAAUCUAAAAACUCGUUCUAAGUUCGGAUUGCAGGCUGCAACUCGCCUGCAUGAAGGUGGAAUCGCUAG